GACGAACGCUGGCGGCGUGCCUAACACAUGCAAGUCGAACGGUGACGCUCCAGCUUGGUUGACUGCAUCAGUGGCGAAGGGGUGAGAAACACGGGAGCAACCUGCCGCUAACUGGGGAAUAGGCGCUGGAAACGGCGUCUAAUACUGGAUACGAGAAGAGUAAGCAGGGGCACUUUCUGGAAAGUUUUUCGGUUGGGGAUGGGCUCGCGGCCUAUCAGCUUGUUGGUGAGGUAACGGCUCACCAAGGCGACGACGGGUAGCCGGCCUGAGAGGGCGACCGGCCCCACUGGGCCUGCGGGACGGCCCAGAGUCCUACGGGGGGCAGCGGUGGGAAAUAUUGCACAAUGGGCCCACGCCUGAUGCAGCGACGUCGCGUUAGUGAUGACGGCCUUCGGGUUGUAAACCUCUUUAGGCAGGGAAGAUGCCAAAGUGACGGUACCUGCAGAAGAAGCACCGGCUAACUACGUG
rnacentral:rRNA from 1 species